GUUACAUCCAAACCCACCAAACAAAAAAUAAAUUAUACCAAAGCUAUAUGUAAAAUUUGGCACAUAAAACAAACUCAUAUAGUAGUAACUUUUCAAAGUGCGGGUUUGAUGAUGGCAUAGUUUGUGUAUUUGCCUAAUGGAUCUUCUUCACUUUUCAACAUGCCAUUGAGUUCCCUAACGAAUAUUUCCAUUGCAAAAGCAGGCAAACAUACAGGCACCACAAUUCCAUUUUCACCAUUUUUGUUUUUAAAUGGUAUGUAAAAACUCGCCACACCAGGGAUUGCUCCUACUCCUCCUUUAGCCGGUCCACCAUACACUGCUUUCCCCCAUCCAAAAUCUACUUCUCCUUUAGCCGGU
rnacentral:misc_RNA from 1 species